GAUGAACGCUGGCGGCGUGCCUAAUACAUGCGAGUCGAGCGAACAGACGAGGAGCUUGCUCCUCUGACGUUGGCGGCGGACGGGUGAGUAACACGUGGAUAACCUACCUAUAAGACUGGGAUAACUUCGGGAAACCGGAGCUAAUACCGGAUAAUAUAUUGAACCGCAUGGUUCAAUAGUGAAAGACGGUUUUGCUGUCACUUAUAGAUGGAUCCGCGCCGCAUUAGCUAGUUGGUAAGGUAACGGCUUACCAAGGCAACGAUGCGUAGCCGACCUGAGAGGGUGAUCGGCCACCCUGGAACUGAGACACGGUCCAGACUCCUACGGGAGGCAGCAGUAGGGAAUCUUCCGCAAUGGGCGAAAGCCUGACGGAGCAACGCCGCGUGAGUGAUGAAGGUCUUCGGAUCGUAAAACUCUGUUAUUAGGGAAGAACAAAUGUGUAAGUAACUAUGCACGUCUUGACGGUACCUAAUCAGAAAGCCACGGCUAACUACGUG
rnacentral:rRNA from 1 species